ensembl:lincRNA
AGGCCCUUCUAGGCAGCCGGAGGUCUCAGCAUCUCUGUGCCCCAGAGCUGAGCUGUCCAGGUUCCUUAGAUGCUCUGAAGAUCUGCAGAUGCCCUGGCUUCCAGACAUCGCUAUUAUUAAGUGGGUGGUCAGUCUUGGAGAGUUCAGCCAAGGCUUCAAAUAGAACACCACCAACAGACCAAAGAAUUACAGGAAAAUACAUGAGAGAUUCCUUAUAAGAACAUGGGCGAGUCAUGGGCAGCUGCAUCACUGGAAACCACACUCUAGCAUGGAUGGAGUAAUCUGUGAACUCUCCGACAGUACACAAGAGCACAGGACACUUUCCUGAGGUCCUUACUGUCCCGAGUGCUAAGCGGCAGAUCUCGCUGCACGUCUGAUCUGCGUGCUCGCGAGGGGCUCACUCCAGAGUCAGGGUCCUGUCCCGGUGGCCGCUCACCUGGCCGCGUCUGCCCAGUGCAGCGCUGACGCAUGGGAGCCAACAACUCGAGCCAACCCCAAGCCAAACGACCACAGCACGAAGACGAUGCGGCUCCGCCUCGGGCAAGCACCCGGGCACCGCCGGCGUCGCGGCCCGAAUGCGGGCCGCACUUCCCACCGCGUCGCCACCGUCGUGCGUAAUGGCUCGCAGGCCCCACACACCUCCAGGACACUAAGAAAUAGCAACAAAGGACGGGAAGCAUGAGAGCGUCACUUCCGGUACCUCCUGGAUUCCGGAAGUCUUGGUUACCGGAGUGAGUAAUAAUCUUGAACGCUAAGAUUUUUUUACCCAGGGAGCAUCUGGGGCACAAGCGGGUGUCAUGCUGAACUUAGAGUCAUUCAGAUUUCGGGGACCUCACUCUUGUCACAAAAAGGUCAAAAAACGCAAAAGCCAUGCUUUCCAACAAUCAGACUUUGACAGCUACUAGCCUGUCCCUGAUGAUGAUACAGUUAGAGCCCAAUUCCUAAUUGUGUUACAGCUCUGUUCCAUUAAGGGGAAGGUUCCCCCAACUGUACAGUUCUGCUUGGUGGAACUGUUUCUUGGGGUCUAUGGGUCAAGUCUGGGUCAGGGUGUUCUUUCCUUGGCUUUUUUUUACCAUAAAUUUAUCUCUGUCAUCUCACCUCACAGUGCCAGUCUCAGGAAGGAUUGUGUUAUAAAGUUUGCUAACAAGAUGGAGAACUUUAUCUACUAUAAAAGGGUAGGUCCCUCUCAGAGGACAAUUCUCUGAGAAUUCAAACUGUUAUGAUUUUCUUUAUUGAAACUUCUUUAACUAUUAUAGUUUGGUAAAUACUUUUAUUCCUGUGCUUUGGAUUUAUCAAAUACACAUUUAUGGGCUCAAAUAGCACAAGCUGUGGCCCUGAUUCUUUGUGUGUAAGGUGUGAUGCUUACUGCUUGCUUUUUUUGAUUCACAGUUAGUCAAAAAAUAUAUCACAUUAUAUAAUGAAAUAAUGCAAAGGGUCUUAAUACUUUGUUCAACCAAUUUCAAUUCAUUUACAGAGAAACAACAUUCUUCCUCCUGGAUGACACAAGCUUCCCCCUCCACCCUGUUCUGCUGUCAGGAGGUCCGGCAUCCUUCUAUUUUGUAGUACAACCCUGGGAGUGGUGGUCAUCUGAACCUGGAGAAUAAUUAUAACAGGAAUGCAGAGGUAGGGGCCCCUCAAAGAGGGGGACCUCCUAUGAGGGUUUAUUAAAGGAGAAACCCAGGUCUGAGGAGAAACCAUGCAAGGUAGCAUGAACAGGUGUCAUGACUAAGAGGGGAUCCAGAAGGGAUGCACAGAAAAAAACAUCUAGAGGCAUUUUAGAUGGGAUGUGAGGAGCAGUAGGUCAGAAGCGCAUUGAACAUGUUGUAGCCAGGAUUGGGCAUUUCUUCUCAGUUGUGUUUCCUGUUCAAGAAUGUUUUUAUGGGUUAAUGUGGACUGGGAGGCCUGUACCAGGUAUCGAGAGAUAUGAGCAGAAGUGCAUGCAGCACAACUGGUGGGAUAUAGUUUCCCCAUGAUUCCCAUUCUCCAUAUUUCAUCUCAAGGGUCAUCUAUAACAAUGAGACAGUUAUUCAGGUUUUGAAAUAGGCUAUUUCUUUCUUUCUUCUUUAUAUAAAACCAUCAAUGUGUAUUUAUUUAAUAUACAUUGUAAGGGUUCAACAGACUU